rnacentral:rRNA from 1 species
UACAGAGGGGGCAAGCGUUGUUCGGAAUUACUGGGCGUAAAGGGCGCGUAGGCGGCCUUCUAAGUCGAACGUGAAAUCCCUGGGCUCAACCCAGGAACUGCGUCCGAUACUGGAAGGCUUGAAUCCGGGAGAGGGAUGCGGAAUUCCAGGUGUAGCGGUGAAAUGCGUAGAUAUCUGGAGGAACACCGGUGGCGAAGGCGACUACCUGGCCCAUUCUUGACGCUGAGGCGCGAAAGCUAGGGGAGCGAACGGG